rnacentral:rRNA from 1 species
UGUGGCGUUGCCCAGACAACUAGGAUGUUGGCUUAGAAGCAGCCAUCAUUUAAAGAGUGCGUAAUAGCUCACUAGUCGAGUGACACUGCGCCGAAAAUGUACCGGGGCUAAACAUAUUACCGAAGCUGUGGAUUGUCCUUUGGACAAUGGUAGGAGAGCGUUCUAAGGGCGUUGAAGCAUGAUCGUAAGGACAUGUGGAGCGCUUAGAAGUGAGAAUGCCGGUGUGAGUAGCGAAAGACGGGUGAGAAUCCCGUCCACCGAUUGACUAAGGUUUCCAGAGGAAGGCUCGUCCGCUCUGGGUUAGUCGGGUCCUAAGCUGAGGCCGACAGGCGUAGGCGAUGGAUAACAGGUUGAUAUUCCUGUACCACCUAUAAUCGUUUUAAUCGAUGGGGGGACGCAGUAGGAUAGGCGAAGCGUGCGAUUGGAUUGCACGUCUAAGCAGUAAGGCUGAGUAUUAGGCAAAUCCGGUACUCGUUAAGGCUGAGCUGUGAUGGGGAGAAGACAUUGAGUCUUCGAGUCGUUGAUUUCACACUGCCGAGAAAAGCCUCUAGAUAGAAAAUAGGUGCCCGUACCGCAAACCGACACAGGUAGUCAAGAUGAGAAUUCUAAGGUGAGCGAGCGAACUCUCGUUAAGGAACUCGGCAAAAUGACCCCGUAACUUCGGGAGAAGGGGUGCUCUUUAGGGUUAACGCCCAGAAGAGCCGCAGUGAAUAGGCCCAAGCGACUGUUUAU